UGCUGUGCACACAAAUGGUCACAGUCCAGCGCAUCUCCAGUUAAGGAGCUGAGCUGUGUCGAAGCUCAUGGAAAAGUGCUCUGCUCCAGAGUGGACAGGCUGUCUACGACGUCUGUUCCAGUGAUGAAGGCCAUGAUGAUGAUGAUGAUGAUGAUGAUGAUGAUAGUGAUAGUCAUGCAGACAAGAGUGAAAAAAAAAAAGAAGAAUUCAUGUAACCCCCAGCCUGCCACCCAUGCUCCCUGUGACUCUCCCCACCAGCCUGAUCAGCAAGGGAGGGAUAAAUGGCAAGAACAUAACGAAUGGAU